rnacentral:rRNA from 1 species
AGAGAGAGACAUGCGCGCAUAUCAAUAAGCGGAGGAAAAGAAACUAACAAGGAUUCCCCUAGUAACGGCGAGUGAAGCGGGAAGAGCUCAAAUUUGAAAUCUUAAAGGGUUUCCCUUUACGAAUUGUAGUUUAAAGAAGUGUUUUCUGUUGAGGUUUUGGUAAAAGUUCUUUGGAAUAGGACAUCAUAGAGGGUGAGAAUCCCGUAUUUGACCUUUACUUUCAACUUUGUGAUACACUUUCAAAGAGUCGGAUUGUUAGGGAAUGCAGUCCAAAAUGGGUGGUAAAUUUCAUCUAAAGCUAAAUAUUGGCGAGAGACCGAUAGCGAACAAGUACCGUGAGGGAAAGAUGAAAAGAACUUUGAAAAGAGAGUUAAACAGUACGUGAAAUUGUCAAAAGGGAAGCGUUUGACACCAGUGUUGUUUUUCUGAAAAUCAAUUAAAGAACUGUUUAUGCUAAGUUGUUUAGACUUUAUCAGCUAUCUGUUUAGUUUUGAGCUUUUCUUUAAUGCACUUUUCAGUUAACAAGUCAACAUCAAUUUCUUUUGCUGUAAAAAAGCUUGAGGAAGGUGGCUUGAGAUUCGUCUUAAGUGUUUAUAGCCUCUUGCCUAUGCAGUCGGAGAGAUUGAGGUCUGCAGCGUAGAUCCUUCGGGGCUAAAUGCAUUUGUGCUAAGUUAUAGCAUUAUAUAGACAACUUGUUGACUAUGAUUUGUCUUGUAGCUUACUCGCUUAUGUUAUUUUACCUACGCUUAGGAUGUUGACGCAUGAGAUAUACGC